AACGAACGCUGGCGGCAGGCCUAACACAUGCAAGUCGAACGCACCGCAAGGUGAGUGGCAGACGGGUGAGUAACGCGUGGGAACCUUCCUUUCAGUACGGAACAACUCAGGGAAACUUGAGCUAAUACCGUAUACGCCCUCCGGGGGAAAGAUUUAUCGCUGAAAGAUGGGCCCGCGUUGGAUUAGCUAGUUGGUGGGGUAAUGGCUCACCAAGGCGACGAUCCAUAGCUGGUCUGAGAGGAUGAUCAGCCACACUGGGACUGAGACACGGCCCAGACUCCUACGGGAGGCAGCAGUGGGGAAUAUUGGACAAUGGGCGCAAGCCUGAUCCAGCCAUGCCGCGUGAGUGAAGAAGGCCUUAGGGUUGUAAAGCUCUUUUGCCCGGGAAGAUAAUGACUGUACCGGGAGAAUAAGCCCCGGCUAACUUCGUGCCAGCCGCCGCGGUAAAAC
rnacentral:rRNA from 1 species